GCCAUCUUCGCACGGUUCUUCCCUUGGCUUUAGAGCCCCGAAGCGCUCUUUGACUUGAGCUGCUUUGCAUUCUCUCUGUCCUGCCAUCGAGAAAGUUCUGAGCGGCUCAGAAGUAAUACUGACACUAUCAACGGAGGGGGACUGCAGUUUCGCUGGUGGCCCCACAGCCCCCUGCCUCCAGCCAGGGGACAAAGAACAGGAGGGAUCCAGAGGAGGAAGCAGAGAGCCCAGGGGAUGACUCGACCCAGGCACACGGCUGAUGGAUUGAUGAACGGCAGAGCUGGCCUCAGAC
rnacentral:lncRNA from 10 species